AUUGAACGCUGGCGGCAGGCCUAACACAUGCAAGUCGAACGAGUGGCGGACGGGUGAGUAAUGUCUGGGACACUGCCUGAUGGAGGGGGAUAACUCCUGGAAACGGUAGCUAAUACCGCAUACCAUCGGAUGUGCCCAGAUGGGAUUCGCUAGUAGGUGGGGUAACGGCUCACCUAGGCGACGAUCCCUAGCUGGUCUGAGAGGAUGACCAGCCACACUGGAACUGAGACACGGUCCAGACUACUACGGGAGGCAGCAGUGGGGAAUAGUGCACAAUGGGCGCAAGCCUGAUGCAGCCAUGCCGCGUGUAUGAAGAAGGCCUUCGGGUUGUAAAGUACUUUCAGCGGGGAGGCGUUACCCGCAGAAGAAGCACCGGCUAACUCCGUGCCAGCAGCCGCGGUAAUAC
rnacentral:rRNA from 1 species